rnacentral:tRNA from 1 species
AAAAAGAAAUGAGGCUCAAGAAAAAGCUGCUAACUUUUUUCUUUAAUAGUUUAACUCUAUUUAUUUCUUU